GUCUCAGUUCGGACUGUGGUCUGCAACUCGACCACACGAAGCUGGAAUCGCUAGUAAUCGCGAAUCAGCAUGUCGCGGUGAAUACGUUCCCGGGUCUUGUACACACCGCCCGUCACACCAUGGGAGUCAGCAACGCCCGAAGUCAGUGACCUAACCGAAAGGAAGGAGCUGCCGAAGGCGGGGCAGGUAACUGGGGUGAAGUCGUAACAAGGUAGC
rnacentral:rRNA from 1 species